CCUACGGGAGGCAGCAGUGGGGGAUAUUGCACAAUGGGGGAAACCCUGAUGCAGCGACGCCGCGUGGGUGAAGAAGUACUUCGGUAUGUAAAGCUCUAUUAGCAGGGAAGAAAGAAGACGGUACCUGACUAAGAAGCCCUGGCUAACUACGUGCCAGCAGCCGCGUGAAUACGUAGGGGGCGAGUGUUAUCCGGAUUCACUGGGUGGAAAGGGAGCGUAGACGGCCGUGCAUGCCAGGGGUGAAAGCCCGGGGCCCAACCCCGGGCCUGCUGUUGAAACGGGGCGGCUGGAGUGCGGACGGGGCAGGAGGAAUGCGUGGUGUAGCGGUGAAAUGCGUAGAUAUCAGGAGGAACACCGACGGCGAAGGCAGCCUGCUGGACCGCGAGUGACGUUGAGGCUCGAAAGCGUGGGGAGCGAACAGGAUUAGAUACCCGAGUAGUC
rnacentral:rRNA from 1 species